rnacentral:lncRNA from 1 species
AGAAAGAUUAUCCCAACUCUUAUGAAGUUUGGAUUGUAGGGAGGCAGGUAUGGACUCUUUAAGAAGUUGUUGCAUAGUCUGGGAAAGAAAAUAGCAAUUUGAACAAAUUUGGGUAGUGCAACUCAGGGUGGGCGUAAAAAUUGGCAGAUUGGAGAUAGAUUUUAAAGGUAACAGACAGCACCUGAAUCCACUGAAUAAUGGCAGUGGAAUAAAGAAGGGAAGGAGGGGGUCAAAGAAGACUAGUUGAUUUGGAGCCUAAACAUGACCAAAGAAUGCCCUGAGAUCAGGAAAAAAAAAAAAACAAAAAACUAGAAUUUUGUUUUGGCAGGAGGAACCAGUAAUUUGCCCUAGGCUGUGUUCAGUAUACCACUUAAUUAUCUAAGUGGACAUUUAGAAUUGAUAACUGAGAGGCUGCAUCUCAGGGAACAGGCCUCAUUGAACAUACAGAUGUUAGAGUAUGACACAUGGACUAUCUUUAAUUCUUGGUGCAGGAUGAGUUUGUCUAGAGGGAGAAGAGAGAGAGUAUACUCCCUGGGACUGAGUCCUGAACCUUCCACCACUUAGGGGUCUAAUGAAGGAAGAAGAGAUAACAAAAUGAAAACUGAGAAGAAACUAUGGUAUUUGAUCAAAGCAGCAGCAAAAAAGGAAUAUGAAGUAUUGUGGGAACCCAGGGAGGAAGGUGUUCCAAGUGGAGAGAGAAGGUUCUGUGGGACUUGGCGUCUACUAACAAAAACAGUAGGGAUUGGAGCAAGUCGAAAUGUGGGCACUAAGUGGGGAGUGGAGACCCCACUGUCAUCAGCGCUGUCAAAAAAUCAGCAGUGAAGAGGGAAAUGGAGCAAUGAGUAGAGGAGAUCUAAGGUUUGGGGUGAGCAGGCACUGGGAAGAAAGUGGGUUCAUUUUCCAGAUGAAGAUCUGGUAUCAGAGAAUGUUCACAGACAAUAGGUUGAGUUAGCAGAAGAGAAAAAUCCCUUUGAGAUAAGGAGUACUCCUCUUGCCAUUUGGUACACAGAUCUGAAAGCAUCUCCACUCUGGCCCCCAAUUCCUUUGCAUGUUAGUCAGCUUUGUGUCACUGUGACCAAAAUAAUUAACAAGAACAACUUAGAGGAGAGCAAGUUUGUUUUGGUUUACAGUUUCAGAGGUCUCCUUGCAUAGCCGACAGACUCCAUUGCUAUGGGCCUUAAGUGAGGCAGACAUUAUUGAAGAAGGGCAUUGGGGAGGAAAGCUGCUUUCAGCUCAUGGCAGCCAGAAAGCAGACACAAGAGGGUCAGGGACAGAUAAUUUCCAAGGUCACAACCACAGUGACCUAAUUCCUCCAGCACACCCCACGUUGCCAGUAUUCCCAUUUGAAUUUAUCAAUUGGGUUAAUCCCUCAUGAGGUUACAGCCCUCAUGAUCCAAUCACUGCCUAAAAUCCCCACUUCUGAACCUUGUCGCACUGGGGACCAUGCUUUCAUUACAUGAGAUUUUGGGGGGACAUUCCAGAUCUAGAUCAUAACACUUUGGUUGAGGUGAAGCUUGCAUUUUUCCUGGGGGGGAGAAUGUGAGCAGAUGAAGGGUGUAGUACACAAGCCUAACUUGUGUCAAAAUUGACCUCUGUUGAAUUGGUUUCCCCAGGACUUUAGGCUAUCACUGUUGUCCUGUGUGCAGCCAGCGUCUUCUCACUGGGGUCGCCCCCCUAGCUGCUUCACUGGCCUCUCCCUUAACCUAUCCAUCCAACCAGUCAGCUACUGCCAGGUAACACUUCUAGAACUGAGUUGCUGUCAUAACUUAAACCUUUCACAGGUUCCUCAGCCCUUUGGGGACCUAAACUCCUGGGUACAGUCUUCCUUGGUCCUUCUGUCACCUCCCGCUGCUUCCCUGCCUUUUCCUUGCUUGAGUGCAUCAUACUUCUUCACUCAUCCUUUCUUUGUGCUGUACCGCCUUUUGGAAUGCUGAGCUCUUCUCUGGACACAGUGCCCAGAAGAUUCUUCCCACACCCGGUUCCACUCCUCCAGGCUUGUGGUUGCUUCUCAGCCUUGUUCCUCGGGCUUACACUCUGACAAAGAUAAGACGGGAGUUUAUUUUUACACUUCACUGUGGGUGUUCUUUGAGGAUAGAAACUUGUGGAUAGAAGCUCCCUGAAGGUACUGUUCUUUAAAACAUUAAAUUAACUAGUCCCAGAGAACUUAAAGGGAGAUGUCUUCAAACCUCAGUGAUCCUGUGUUCUUGUUAUAUAGUGAAAAGCCUAUGUAAAAAAGAAAAUGAAGAAUCAAUGACAUUCAAAAGUAUUCCUCUUUGAGUAAAUAUGCCAUUUGUUCUUAUCAGUUUAUCAAAAAUAAAUGGGUUUUUUAGUGAUUUAUAUUUAAAGAGUUAAGGACUCCUCUAGAAAUAUAUUGGAGAAACAUGUAUAAGUUGAAAGUAACCUUAAAAAAAAGUAAAUUAAGAUUAAGUCAUGGCACCUGAAGGUUACAUUUGGAAUAAGAUUUUUCUUCAAUCUGAGUCUGUUGUUCUGCUUUUUGCCUCCUUGGCUCCAAGAGUAAGUAUAGUAAGUAUCAUUUCUAGAUUACUUAAAACACCUGGUAUAAAUUAGAUGCUAUGUAAAUAGUUGUACUGUAUUUUUAGGGAACAAUGACAGGAAGUCUAUCCAUGGUUAAUAAAGACAGUUUUUUUCCAAUUUUUUUUUUUUUUUUUUUAACCUGAGGUUGGUUCAGUCUACAGGUGCAGAAGCCCUGGAUACUGAAGACUAGCUAAUUGCACAGUUUUAUUUUUCUCCCUUAACAGAUCCAGAGAGAGAGGAGCUGGGAUGGGUUCAGUGAUCACAGAUCACAUCCAUUACCAGCUUCCUCCCUUUCUGCUGCUCUGACAUCUUUGGCAUGCUGUUCUUCAAGACCCCCAAGGCCUUAUUCUGGGUAGGAAGGUAGAAAAGGCAUGAGUUAGCUGAGUCCUUUUUAUGUAAAAUCUACUAACUUGGCUCUGGUGUGUUUCUACCAACAUCUUUCCAGAACUGAAAAACAUGGGUACUGUCAGUUACGAGGCAAUCCCAGGAAAUUAGAUUUGGUUGGUUUUUUGCUUUAUUGAGACAUAAUUCAUGUAUCACCCAUUUAAAGUGUACAGUUAUUUUUGGUAUAGUCAUUGAGUUGCAUAAUCAUCAGCCACAAUCUAAUUUGAUUUUAUUACCCCUAAAAGAAACUCCAUACCCAUUUGUAAUCACUCCUAAUUCCUCUCCCUCAGUCCUAGGUGACCACUAAUCUACUUAAUGUCCAGAUUUACCCAUUCUGAACCUUUUGUGUAAAUGGAAUCAUAUAAUAUGUGGCUUUUCUUCUCUCACUUAACCAGGUUUUCGAGGUUCCGCCACAUUUUAGCAUGAUCAUUAAGUUCUUCAUUCUUUUAUACUUCUGAAAAAUAUUCCAUUGUGUGAAUAUUCAACUGUUCAUGUAUCAGUUGAUCCACAAUUGAGAAAAUUGAGCUUUUAUUUGAUCACAUUCUUAUCUGAACAAAACGAGUCCAUUGGGUGGGGUGGCUGUUGGUGGACAAUCAACAAUGGUUGGCCCUAUACAGAAAUGGACUGGUACCUGAAAUUUUAUUUAGCAUUUCAAAAGUUCUGACAGGUGUGUGAAGAAGUGCAGAGAUUGUGAAGUCUUAGUGACCUUAAGGAGUGCCAGGUCAAGUUGGUUUUACCUUGGUGAGUAAUGUUGUUACUAAAGAAAAAAGCCUGGUAGGAAUUACUAUAUAAUUAGCAUGUAGGUCUUUGACCAGAGAACCGUGCUUUUUCAUUGUGACUGCUAUUUCUUUGGCCUCUGACCCUACUAUUUUGCACCAAUCCCUAAUCCUGCCACCACUUUAGGGAUAUGGACUUGCAAAGUUAUUUAUGUUCUCCUCCAUGCUUGACAUGCAGUUAUUUACCACAAGGCACCUUUGCUCUGGCUUCACAUGGGUUGGACUAUUACUUUCUUUACAGGGAUAUUUACUACUUGUAAUUAAUUUACCCCUUACUUUGAAUAAGUAAGAUUACAAAGGAUUUAAGUAAAAAAAAAAUAAAUAAAUAAAACCUCUUUAAAUCCUGAUCCUGGAUGAAAUAAAUCUUCAGUAGAUUCCAUGGCUUUCAAUCAUUCUUGAAUAAUAAAGAGUGUUUAUUAUUAUUCACGCCUCCAGUUCCUUCUAGAUUCGAGAAUCUUGUAAUGAAGAUGACCAGCCCUGUGUAAUUAGCAACACUCUAAACUCUGAAAGGCUGAAGCCCCACCACUCUGCCUCCCCAGCUCGAGGCUGCUGCAACCAGAAGAGUCUGCAGUGUGUUCAAGUCUUUCUACUUUUAGCAUCUUCUGGAUCACCUGGCAAAGUGUGUUCUGGAAGUGAUUUUAGAAUGAAUUCUCUGAGCUUCAGUUUUCUGAUCUCCAACAUAGAAGAUUACCAUCUGUACCACUUAUUUCACAGGUCUCACUCCAGAUAAGUUUUAGAAUAAACUUGCCAAGUCCAUAUUAAAAGGCGUUGCUUAUAACUACAUUAACAUAUGUUGAUUUGGGAAAAAUCAACAUUUAUAAUUUGGGACCAGAAACAUGGUCAACCUCUCAAUUUAUUCAGGAAUGCUUUCAAUAACUCCAGUAAAGUUUGAUAAGUUUUAAUGUAAGCGUUGCACAUUUGUCAACAUUUUUGUUCCUUGUGUGUAUUAUAAUGGUUUAUAAAGGUAUUUUUAAUAUGAAUUUUUCUAAAAAAUAGGUAUUCGGUUAGGUUAUUAAGGGCAUGUUGCAAAGCUAGUGAUUUGGGGGAAAUUCUCUUUACAAGGUCUCUUGGUGAUUAUUUUUAAAUUAGUUUUAAUAGGUUGUUGGUUUAAUCUUUUAAACUUUCUGGGUAUAUUAUAGAAUCAUACACAAAUAAUUACGAUUUUUGCCUCUCCCCAUGUUAUUUCUUGUUCAUGCUUUAUUGUGCUGGUAGGAUGAACAUUGUAGAGCAGUAGAAAUGUAGUCCAUAAAAAAUUUCACCUUCCCUGAACAGAAAUAAAGUGCUUAAAAAAAAAAAAAAAGAAAGAAAGAAAUGGAGUCCAGCACCCAGGCCAUGUCCUGGUUUUAAUGGGGGUGUUUUAAAUAUUUUCUUACUAAAUAUGAUGUUUGCAGUGGAUUUCUGAUAGGUGUCCUUAGGAAAGUUAAGUGUUUCUCUAUGUCCUUAGGAACUCUCAUCUUGCAUUGGUGCUGAAUUUUUCCAGUACUGUGUUUAGCAUCAAUCGAAGUAAUAAUAUUUUGUCCCCUAGACUGACAAUGUGGUAUUACAUUAAUAAAUGUAAUGUUGACCCAACUGUU